GUAUGGAUCCAGAGACCAGAGGCCAAAGAGACGUGAUAAACUAUGUCAGUGACUGGAGCCGACCCUGGUCAGUCCCUGGGGCAGGCAUGGCAGCGAGAGGCUGGUUUCCACGUGUGCCCAGAGUUUGCUUCAUGGAAAGGCCAGCUCUGCGCGAAGGUCCAGGGGGGACCAGUCACGAAGGUGUGAACAGGCCUGAGUGUUUGUCUUCCGUUCAGCUGAGGACGGCAGAACGCCGCCACACUGCUGCGCAGACGGCACCUUCUACACCUUUACACUCCUCACACUGAGCUCCAGGGUCUGGACAGCUGUGCACCUGCCACUUUUAGCAAAGCGAAGGCCAGGGGCCCCUGCUGGCCUUCUGCAAUGGGCAUAAAUUUUGUCUACCCAGCAUUCCUUUCCUUUUUGAGAAUAACUCUUCAGGUCAAAGUAGUCACGCCCAGUCCUCCUGGGCAAGAGAAACAGCCCCUCCUUCCCCUUCUUCCUGGGUGAAUGUGAUGAGGAUGACCAAUUAGAAUAGCCCCACCCCCUAGGCAGGGUAAUUGGCUCAGGGCUGGGCAUGUGACCCAGAACCAGCCAUACUGAGUCCUCCUGGGGUCUUGCCAGGGUUCCUGUGAAAUAAACCCACUGUCUGGGACGGUAAGCAGGACACUAGCUCACGAUGGCCAGUAGGCACAGCAUGAGCCCAGAUGUGAGCUUUCUGCUCCUGCUCCUGCCCCUUCGUAGGCCUGUGCCAGUGGCAGCUGGGCCCGGAGACACCAGGCCGGCACUGCUCUCCUUCGAGGCACCCGUGUUUGUGCCGACGCUGACUCCGGGUCGUCUGCAGCAGCCACGUGGCCCAAAGGG
rnacentral:antisense_RNA from 1 species